rnacentral:misc_RNA from 1 species
GAUGGAAAACUUUGUCUGGAAGAUGUCAGAGGUUGAGGGGUGAGAACGAAAAAGCUUGCUCUCAGACUUGCUUUCGUUUAAAAUGUAGUCUUAGUUUCGCUUUCGAACUUUGGAACAGUUUGUGAGAUUGACGUCUCAGUUCUUUGUAUGUCUGUUUCCAACGAGGUUAGGCUGUGCAUCUACGCUGUCGUCUAUAUGAGAAGACGAAUGGGGUUCCGGUGUCUCGAUAAUUCAAUUGUUACGUCUGAUAAAUCGAUUUUCACAUGAAAUGCGGGGGGUAACAGCAGAUUGGACUAUACAGCCCAAGAAGAACAGCUGUGGCCACUUUUUUCGCUACUUCUGGUCCAACGGAUUGUGCGAUUCGUUAUGGACGAACAUAACACAGAGGACACAAUAAAUCCUUUGCCACGCCCACUCCCUUUUUUUGUGUCGUGUGUAGGCUGCAUCCUGCUAUAUCACAGCUCAUCUUUCUUUACACAUAGCGAAGAAUGCCAGCCUUUUGUUGCAUGCUGUACAUCUACCAUGAUGAUUUAUUUGCACCACAUUGGACAAGGAAACCCGGGAAACGAAGAAAGUAUUUUUUCUGUUUGUUUUCUGCGAUAUUUUUAAAAUAUAUUAUUUGUUUCUAGCUGCAUGGGAAAAGAAUGUUUCUAUCGGACCAUGGUCGAAGCAAAUAAAGAAGGAAACAAGUUGGAAGGAUUUAUAUCUAUCGUCUUGUCAACUUGCUCUAAUAUACUUUCCUUUUCUCUCUGCUUUUCUUUAUGUAUGUACAAAUAACAAGGAGCAGCAUAGGAAAACGAACACUGGGCUUCCGCGGACGCAAUGAAACAACAAGAAUUGUUCCUCGUUUUUCUUUCAAUUUUUAUCCUCCCUUUACGUGAUUUGCUGGUGGAAUGCUGGAACCCUGGUGAUAACGUUGUCCUCUAAUACCGUGAAGCACCAGCACAUCGUGCGGACGCUGUAAUAUAUAGAGGCGGCAAAAGAAAACAAAAAUAACUGGAGCUCAAACAAACAAAAAAUAUCCAACAUUAUUUUUUGUUUUGCUUUGUUAUUUAUUACAAUAGGCCUCGAAAAAUGUAGUUUUUUUUGGUUUUUUUUU